rnacentral:rRNA from 1 species
UACGGAGGAUGCAAGCGUUAUCCGGAAUGAUUGGGCGUAAAGCGUCCGCAGGUGGCAAUGUAAGUCUGCUGUCAAAGCGUCUGGCUCAACCAGAUAAAGGCAGUGGAAACUACAUAGCUAGAGUAAGGUAGGGGUAGAGGGAAUUCCUGGUGUAGCGGUGAAAUGCGUAGAGAUCAGGAAGAACACCGGUGGCGAAAGCGCUCUGCUGGACCUUAACUGACACUGAGGCACGAAAGCGUGGGGAGCAAACGGG